AACGAACGCUGGCGGCAUGCCUAACACAUGCAAGUCGAACGAGACCUUCGGGUCUAGUGGCGCACGGGUGCGUAACGCGUGGGAACCUGCCCUUAGGUUCGGAAUAACUCCCCGAAAGGGGUGCUAAUGCCGGAUAAUGUCUUCGGACCAAAGAUUUAUCGCCUUUGGAUGGGCCCGCGUUGGAUUAGCUAGUUGGUAGGGUAAAAGCCUACCAAGGCGACGAUCCAUAGCUGGUCUGAGAGGAUGAUCAGCCACACUGGGACUGAGACACGGCCCAGACUCCUACGGGAGGCAGCAGUGGGGAAUAUUGGACAAUGGGCGAAAGCCUGAUCCAGCAAUGCCGCGGGAGUGAUGAAGGCCUUAGGGUUGUAAAGCUCUUUUACCCGGGAUGAUAAUGACAGUACCGGGAGAAUAAGCUCCGGCUAACUCCGU
rnacentral:rRNA from 1 species